UCGGGUGGAAGAGAGAAGAAAUAGGGAAUUUUGAGGUAGUUAGGGAUUUAUAAUGGCAUUGUACAGAUUUGUGAUGGGUGAGGGUUUUCAAGGGUUCUAUGCAAAUAUGCACCAACAAAACAGCGGCAAAACUCCCACCUUCCACAUCAAAGUGUCACGUCAACUACCAGGCACGGGUUUGUACCCAUUAAUACCUUCUAUGUUACAAUAAUAGUGUUUGGGGGAUAAAAAUGCAUUUCGAAAGUUGAUGGACCAGGAUGACACACUCGAAAAAGU
rnacentral:lncRNA from 1 species